rnacentral:rRNA from 1 species
UUUAGUCAGGCAACAAGCGAGACCCGCACGCCUAAUUGCCAGCAACACCCCUGUGGUGGUUGGGUACAUUAGGUGGACUGCCGCUGCCAAAGCGGAGGAAGGAACGGGCAACGGUAGGUCAGCAUGCCCCGAAUGUGCUGGGCUACACGCGGGCUACAAUGGUUGAGACAAUGGGUUGCUACCUCGAAAGAGGACGCUAAUCUCCUAAACUCAAUCGUAGUUCGGAUUGAGGGCUGAAACUCGCCCUCAUGAAGCUGGAUUCGGUAGUAAUCGCAUUUCACAAGAGUGCGGUGAAUACGUCCCUGCUCCUUGCACA